UAUAAACCCCUUGUUUUGCAAGGAACAAACCAUUUUCAUUUGUUCAAGACUGCAAAAGGAGGGCUUCAUAAGAGAAUUUGGGAGAUGAUGUCUGACAUGCCAAAGAUUACAACUAUAGAUGAAGCCUUUACUUUGGUUAAAACAGGAAAAUAUGCUUUUCUAUCUGACUCAUCUGAACUCCGAUUUGAGCUUCGGGAUAAAUGUGACGAAUUGGAAAUUGCCCAAGAAUCAUUUUUAUUGACACAGCUAUCUUUCGUCGUCCGCAAAUAUUUUCCAAUUAAAGAUGCCUUCGACAAUCACAUUAUGAAAAUGGUAGAAUCUGGAGUAAUCACGAAGUUUCGACGCAAGUAUUGGAACCACGCAGAUUGCUAUCAUUCUCGAAUUACCGGAGGAACUGAAUUAAAGUUUGAGAAUAUGGGUGGAAUUUUUAUCGUUUAUCUUGUUUUUAUUUUGCUGUCCUUGGUAUCCAUGGUAA